UUGCAUGGUUGGAAAUGUCUGCUCCUCCUUCCUUUGGGAGCAGAAAUACAUCCAUAACAUGCUACAUUAAAAAAGGAGUUCUCAGGGCUGCCAACCUUACAGUAAAGGUUGAGUAGUAGUAUAUUACUCUUACAUAA
ensembl:snoRNA SCARNA18B small Cajal body-specific RNA 18B